AAGCACUUGCCCACUGGGGCUUAUCUUCUUGGAACUGUCUCUCAGAAGCUUGCUGCCAUGUUAUAAAGAAGCUCAGAUGGAUCACUGGAUGAUGAGAAGCCUCAAGGAGAGAUGCCCUAAAGGAUGAGAGGCCAUCUUGAAAGUUCCAGCCCCUGCAGAGCUCCUACCUUAAUGCAGCCACACAAGUGACCACAGCUAUUCCACAAGGAGCAGAACCCAACCAACCCACAAAACUGAGAAAAAUAAUACCUUGUUGUGUUAAGUCACUAAGUUUGAGUGGCUUGUGAUACUGCAAGAGAACUGAAGCAGACCUCUUCAGACAGAUUAAAAUGGGGGACCCUGGCUAUUGCUGGGCUCCUCUGGGAAGAGUCUCCUAAAGAGAUGUCUUAGGCCCCUUUGCCCAAAUGGCUGCAGAGGGAAUUGUGGACCUUCACUUGGGAGCUGGCCUGGAGGUAUUUUGGAUUUCACUCGAGGGGAUGAAUGGGCUCACAGAUGGGCAGUGAAACCAUGGGUAGGACAUGGACAGACUGCCAGAUGCCCAGGGCCUGAGGAAGGAGUUAUAAGCAACUAAGGGCAGAAGAGGUAUGGCUUGCACUAAGGCGGGGGCAAUCAAGUGUUUUAUGAGAAAGUUUCCUUGGAACCCAUAAAAGCAUCCCAAACAAGAAAGAGUUGUUUUUGAACAUCAGUCAGCCUCUUAGUUCCCCUCCAUCCCCACUGCAGAGGAGCAAAUUCCCAUUAAGUGGCUUUAAAGGGAGACAAGGCAUUGAAAGAAGAAAGACAUUGAGUCUUGUUUUUAACGUAAUGGUAUUACUUCUAUUGAGUAUUUUACUGCAUAUUGAUAAUACAUUUCUUAUCAUGUAUUGUUUGCUAGAGUUUGUUAUUUUUUAGGGUAUCUGUUUUUCUUUAGAAUGUUAUUAUUCCAUUUACAAAUACUGAGUGUCAACUAUGUGCUAGUAACUGGAGUAUGUAUUGGAAAACAAGCAUGAAAAUAUGAAUUUUGGAUCUCAAGUCCUUUACGCUUUGGUAGGGGAGGCACAUAGCAAACAGAAAAUUUGAAUGUAGUGUGUAAGGCCUCAAUAAUGUGUCAUGGAACCAUAUAUAGGGAUAACGGAGCUUUGAGUUAAGCCGCUCUGCCUUUUGAUAGAUAUAUUCAUGGCUGUAAUUGUGUCUCUACCUACUAUUUUGGUUGAAA
rnacentral:lncRNA from 10 species